rnacentral:rRNA from 1 species
AACGAACGCUGGCGGCAUGCCUAAUACAUGCAAGUCGAACGAGAUCUUCGGAUCUAGUGGCGCACGGGUGCGUAACGCGUGGGGAUCUGCCCUUGGGUUCGGAAUAACGUCGGGAAACUGACGCUAAUACCGGAUGAUGACGUAAGUCCAAAGAUUUAUCGCCCAAGGAUGAGCCCGCGUAGGAUUAGCUAGUUGGUGAGGUAAAGGCUCACCAAGGCGACGGUCCUUAGCUGGUCUGAGAGGAUGAUCAGCCACACUGGGACUGAGACACGGCCCAGACUCCUACGGGAGGCAGCAGUAGGGAAUAUUGGACAAUGGGCGCAAGCCUGAUCCAGCAAUGCCGCGUGAGUGAUGAAGGCCUUAGGGUUGUAAAGCUCUUUUACCCGGGAUGAUAAUGACAGUACCGGGAGAAUAAGCCCCGGCUAACUCCGUGCCAGCCGCCGCCGUAA